rnacentral:rRNA from 1 species
AACGAACGCUGGCGGCGUGCCUAACACAUGCAAGUCGAACGCGCCGGGGCAACUCAGCGAGUGGCGCACGGGUGAGAAACGCGUGGGUAACCUACCCUUGAGCGGGGAAUAACAUUCCGAAAGGAGUGCUAAUACCGCAUACGGUCCUUGGACGCUGGUUCAAGGAUUAAAGGAGGCGCAAGCUUUCACUUAAGGAGGGGCCCGCGUCCCAUUAGCUAGUUGGUGGGGUAAUGGCCUACCAAGGCGAUGAUGGGUAGCUGGUCUGAGAGGACGAUCAGCCACACUGGAACUGACACACGGUCCAGACUCCUACGGGAGGCAGCAGUGGGGAAUAUUGCGCAAUGGGGGAAACCCUGACGCAGCGACGCCGCGUGAGUGAUGAAGGCCUUCGGGUUGUAAAGCUCUGUCAGCAGGGAAAAAUACUUACGUGCUAACACCACGUGAGGGUGAUGGUACCUGCAGAGGAAGCACCGGCUAACUCUGUGCCAGCAGCCGCGGUAAAAC